rnacentral:rRNA from 1 species
CCCUUAGAUGUUCUGGGCCGCACACGCGCUACACUGAAGGAGGCAGCGUGUACUCCUGGAUCGAAAGAUUUGGGUAACCCGCGAAUCUCCUUCGUGCUAGGGAUUGAGGUUUGCAAUUAUCCUUCAUGAACGAGGAAUUCCCAGUAAGUGCAAGUCAUAAGCUUGCGCUGACUACGUCCCUGCCCUUUGUACACACCGCCCGUCGCUACUACCGAUUGAAUGAUUUAGUGAGGACUUUGGACUGGGACCGAUGCGGCUUUCGGGCUGCGUCGGUAUUCUGGAAAGAUGUCCAAACUGUAUCAUUUAGAGGAAGUAAAAGUCGUAACA